rnacentral:rRNA from 1 species
GUAAGGAAUAUUGGUCAAUGGACGCAAGUCUGAACCAGCCAUGCCGCGUGAAGGAUUAAGGUCCUCUGGAUUGUAAACUUCUUUUAUAGGGGGAGAAACACUCGUUUUCCAACGAGCUUGACGGUACCCUAUGAAUAAGCACCGGCUAACUCCGUGCCAGCAGCCGCGGUAAUACGGAGGGUGCAAGCGUUAUCCGGAUUUACUGGGUUUAAAGGGUGCGUAGGCGGAUUAGUAAGUCUGUGGUGAAAUCUCUGAGCUUAACUCAGAAAUUGCCGUGGAUACUAUUAAUCUUGAAUGUCGUUGAGGUUAGCGGAAUAUGUCAUGUAGCGGUGAAAUGCUUAGAUAUGACAUAGAACACCAAUUGCGAAGGCAGCUGGCUAAACGAAUAUUGACGCUGAGGCACGAAAGCGUGGGGAUCAAACAGGAUUAGAAACCCUAGUAGUCC